rnacentral:rRNA from 1 species
UCUCCGUAGGUGAACCUGCGGAGGGAUCAUUACAAGUGACCCCGGUUUUACCACCGGGAUGUUCAUAACCCUUUGUUGUCUGACUCUGUUGCCUCCGGGGCGACCCUGCCUUCGGGCGGGGGCUCCGGGUGGACACUUCAAACUCUUGCGUAACUUUGCAGUCUGAGUAAAUUAAUUAAUAAAUUAAAACUUUUAACAACGGAUCUCUUGGUUCUGGCAUCGAUGAAGAACGCAGCGAAAUGCGAUAAGUAAUGUGAAUUGCAGAAUUCAGUGAAUCAUCGAAUCUUUGAACGCACAUUGCGCCCCCUGGUAUUCCGGGGGGCAUGCCUGUUCGAGCGUCAUUUCACCACUCAAGCCUCGCUUGGUAUUGGGCAACGCGGUCCGCCGCGUGCCUCAAAUCGACCGGCUGGGUCUUCUGUCCCCUAAGCGUUGUGGAAACUAUUCGCUAAAGGGUGUUCGGGAGGCUACGCCGUAAAACAACCCCAUUUCUAAGGUUGACCUCGGAUCAGGUAGGGAUACCCGCUGAACUUAA